rnacentral:rRNA from 1 species
GUAGGUGAACCUGCGGAAGGAUCAUUAUUGAAUAUGCUUGAUGGGUUUGUAGCUGGCUCUUCGGGGCAUGUGCACGGCCUGUCUUGAUCCUAUUCAUCCACCUGUGCACCUUUUGUAGUCUUUUUGGGGGCUGACAAGCAGCUGGCUCAGUCGAAAGGCUGGAUGUGGGGACUGACUUUUUUUGCCCUUGGGUGAUGUCUUUCCUCUUGAGUUGUGAAACCUCCCUUGAAGGGACUAUGUCUUUUAUCACAAACCAUGUAGUAUGUUGUCAGAAUGUGGUCAAUGGGCCUUUGUGCCUAUAAAAACCUUAUACAACUUUCAGCAACGGAUCUCUUGGCUCUCGCAUCGAUGAAGAACGCAGCGAAAUGCGAUAAGUAAUGUGAAUUGCAGAAUUCAGUGAAUCAUCGAAUCUUUGAACGCACCUUGCGCUCCUUGGUAUUCCGAGGAGCAUGCCUGUUUGAGUGUCAGUAAAUUCUCAACCCCUACAGCUCUUAUAGUUGGUUCUGGGGCUUGGACUUUGGAGGUUUUGCGGGCCUUUUUUGGAGGUCAGCUCCUCUGAAAUGCAUUAGCGGAACUGUUUGCAAUCCGUCACAGGUGUGAUAAUUAUCUACGCCGAGUGGGUUGCUCUCUGUCUUGUUCAGCUUCCAACUGGUCCCAUUCUUGCGGACAAACUAUCACUGAACAUUUGACCUCAAAUCAGGUAGGAUACCCGCUGAC